AUGAGAAGGAGAGAGAAGAAAGGAGAGGGGGGAGAAAGAGAGAUGAAAGAGGAGAGGGAAGUGCGGUGGCUGAUGGGAGAGGGUCACCGACCGGCGUCGUCAGCCUGCGCCGGUGAGGUCGGGCGCGCCCUGCCGGUUGGCGGCGGCUCGAUCCGCUCCUGGAUCGGGAGCUGCGAGGAGGCUGGUGCUUGGGCGCGAGGCACGGGACGCUGCACUCCACCUCAUCCUCUUGGUGCGGACGGCGGCAUCAGCGGGUGGGCGACGGACGGCGGCAUCAGCUGGUGGGCGACGGACGGCAGCCUCAGCAGGUGGCCGACAACACCUGCAGCUGGUGCUAUACCCAUGGAUUCCGGCACAGCUUGA
rnacentral:rRNA from 1 species